GAAGUCGAAAGGAGAGGAAACCAC
rnacentral:miRNA from 1 species